AUAAACAACAUACCUGUGGUAUCUUUGGUCUGUGUUAAUACUCCUUCAAUGCUAUUCAGUUUUUCAUUCAUUUCACUCAUUCCAUCUUUCAUUCCAUCUUUCAUUUCACUCAUUCCAUCUUUGAUUCCACUCAUUCCAUCUUUCAUUUCACUCAUUUCAACUUUCAUUUCACUCAUUUCAUCAAUAACCUUGCUUUCAAGAAACAGAUGGUAAUCAUUUCUCUGACGACAGAUUUUUUCCUUGAGUUUUUGUAUUUCCUUUGUAGGAAAAUCCGAUUCUUUCAAAUUGCCAAUCCUCUCCAGAGAUGUCGUGCUAAAAUUCAAAGCAGUGAACGCGUCUUUGGCGUGCUUGACAUAGUCAUCGAACGUGACUUUAUUAAUUUGAGGAUUGGUUGUAUGACAAAGAGUGUUUCGUAAAAGUCGAAGCUGAUCAAUG
rnacentral:lncRNA from 1 species